ACUCAAAGGAAUUGACGGGGGCCCGCACAAGCGGUGGAGCAUGUGGUUUAAUUCGAUGCAACGCGAAGAACCUUACCAGGUCUUGACAUCUGUGGGACCCUGGUGAAAGCCGGGGGUGCCUUCGGGAGCCACAAGACAGGUGGUGCAUGGUUGUCGUCAGCUCGUGUCGUGAGAUGUUGGGUUAAGUCCCGCAACGAGCGCAACCCUUGCUAUUAGUUGCUAACAGGUAAAGCUGAGCACUCUAGUGGGACCGCCUGUGACAAGCAGGAGGAAGGUGGGGAUGACGUCAAAUCAUCAUGCCCUUUAUGACCUGGGCUACACACGUGCUACAAUGGAUGGUACAGAGAGCUGCGAUCCCGUGAGGUCGAGCGAAUCUCAUAAAGCCAUUCUCAGUUCGGAUUGUAGUCUGCAACUCGACUACAUGAAGUCGGAAUCGCUAGUAAUCGCGGAUCAGAAUGCCGCGGUGAAUGCGUUCCCGGGCCUUGUACACACCGCCCGU
rnacentral:rRNA from 1 species